UGGGGAAUUUUGGACAAUGGGCGAAAGCCUGAUCCAGCAAUGCCGCGUGUGUGAAGAAGGCCUUCGGGUUGUAAAGCACUUUUGUCCGGAAAGAAAUCCUUGGCUCUAAUACAGUCGGGGGAUGACGGUACCGGAAGAAUAAGCACCGGCUAACUACGUGCCAGCAGCCGCGGUAAUACGUAGGGUGCAAGCGUUAAUCGGAAUUACUGGGCGUAAAGCGUGCGCAGGCGGUUUGCUAAGACCGAUGUGAAAUCCCCGGGCUCAACCUGGGAACUGCAUUGGUGACUGGCAGGCUAGAGUAUGGCAGAGGGGGGUAGAAUUCCACGUGUAGCAGUGAAAUGCGUAGAGAUGUGGAGGAAUACCGAUGGCGAAGGCAGCCCCCUGGGCCAAUACUGACGCUCAUGCACGAAAGCGUGGGGAGCAAACAGGAUUAGAUACCCUGGUAGUCCACGCCCUAAACGAUGUCAACUAGUUGUGGGGAUUCAUUUCCUUAGUAACGUAGCUAACGCGUGAAGUUGACCGCCUGGGGAGUAC
rnacentral:rRNA from 1 species